CUUUUCUUCGGAACGGCUCGGAGUUGCGAAUAGCCAGGCGAUGCGUAGGGGGUUCGGAAUCAGACGCGACGGUAUUCCGAUGGCUUCGACUCCCCGAUGAGCGAGUUUACCUCUACGAGCGUAGAAGCGGGUUAGUCGUUGUUCGUUCCUCGUUGAAAACUGAGAAUUCAGAUUUCACCAUUCGAAAAUAUCUCCUCCUCCGAAACGCUGCGUUUUUCAGAACGACGUCGAGACCGGUACCAUUUAAUUCUUCAGCAUCGCUCACCGGCCGAAGCUCGAUCCUCGGCACGAUGUGCUCUUGGGCGUGAUAGCAGUUGGUUCUUCCGGCUGUAGGUAGCUGGUCCGUGACGUCAAUCGCCUGCAACAGCUCGAACUUCUUGCCGCACGACAACCCGAAGACUUAUACAGAGGAAAAUCAUUCGCGAAACUUUCACAAUUGGUACGGUCAAGAAGUAAACAAAUGGUACGAGUGAGCCAACCUCGUACGGGUUGGACGGAGGGAAAUGGGUCACAAGGGGUGAAGAGAGGGGUGCGACGGAGAAAGGAGAAGAGAGAGAGAGAGAGAGAGAGAGAGAAAAGCGCGAGGCAAAAAUUGAAAUAAAACUGGACGGAAAAUUUAAACUCGCUCUGAGCACCUAAUUAUUGCAAAUUGCGUCGGGUAACGAAUGCUAGAAUUGAAAAUAGUCGUCAGUUCCACUUCUGCAAGAUUUUGCAAAUCCUGAGGCACAUCCUUUGCACGGAAUAUUCCAUGGUGUAGCAUUCUACCUGCAAUGUAGAAACAAAUAAUAGGCACUUGAUUAAUUUCGGUAACUUAUUACCUGAAAAAAUAUGUAAGAACAGAAUACAGCUAUAUGCAGUAUAUGCAUCGAAGGAUCUAUGUAUGUUUACUGAUAUAUAACACUUGAAUACGCGAGGCUCCUAAGAUUUCCAUUGUGCUGCUCAAUUGUAAUUUGCGUCAGAACGUCGCCUCGCCAUUGCUUUGGCGCAUUUUAGACGAUUAAUCACAAAUAAAUAACUCGGAUAUAAUGUGUAUGAAAAAUUUGCUUCAGUUAUCGUUUUCACUUAUUUCAUAGAAUUUUUUUUUCCAAUGCAACAACUAUGAAGAAGUAACAGCUGACAUUCCUCUGUGAAAACUGUACCUAAUAACACGAUUAAUUAUCCGAGAGAAUAUAAACUUACGUUUCGCGAAUUAUAAUCCUUGUAAAAAUAGACUACACAUCAGUGCUGGUUACAAAAAAAAACAAAAAAAAAAGUGCAAUGCUCCUAUAAUAUAAAAUACAAUUUAUCGUCAAUAUAACGAUAUAAAUAUAAUCGAAAAGAAGUCGCGACUCUGCAAUAUUCGGGCGAGGAUUAUACUUGCAGUCGUAACUUCAAUCGGGGUGUUGUUUUGGUUUCAUACGUCACGGGUGGGUUUUCGAAAUAUCAGACGGUAUCACGUAAGAAGGGGCAUAACGUUUCUACAUAGCGGGUAUUAUUUAUUAUACUAUAUACAUGUAUAUUCGUAAUUAUUAGCACGAAUUCUGAGCUCAAUAUCUGACAAUGAUAAUGAGAAUGAGAAUACUUUAUCAUUAGCCGUAAUUUGUGAGAGAGAGAGAGAAUGAAUUACCUAGACCGAAAGAAAUUUCUGUUUAUGGUUUGCUAUUUAUAUACAGUCUUGAGCUGUUUCCAAUUUUUUUCCCAUAAUUAAAAAAUAUGGAUCCGGGUAGGUUUAAACUGAAAAUCAGGCUUCGAGUUGGAGUAAUCAGAAAUUCUAUUACGUGUUACUAUUAUUUUUGAUUACGAUCAUUCUUACUAAUCAGAUUACAGCUGUUGCGAUCAUUUAAUGUGGGUGGAGUGAUAAAAUAAUGUUAACGUUUUGUUUGAUUGAAAAAAUUGACUAAACUAAACAGAUUGAACGCUACAGUAACCAGACAGCGCAUCAGUAUUGGCAAUUAUAAUCAGAUUAAAUUGUUACUUGUGACACAUUUUUUUUUUUUUUUUUACGAUUGCAGCAAUUAUCGAUCCGUUAUUUUAACGAUAUUCAAUUUACUAGUAUUUUCUAGUAACUAUACUAAAUUAAAUGAUUCUCGUCGUCAGUGUACGUUUUCAAAAAACGUUUCGAGCGAAGAAAGGACUCUUUGAAUUCCUUUUCUCUUCUCCGUGCCAGGCGGGCUGCUCCAGGGCACUAAAAAGCGCCCCCUUGGCGCCGGGCGAGAAUAAGCUCGACAAAAACUCCCCCUCGACUCGCUCGCGGGGCGUUUACCAACUUUACGGAAAGACCAGGCCGCGUCGAAUAAUUUUGCGUUUCAAAAAAAUUUUUCCCAACCUGCCUUAGGCGGUGAAAAAUCAGGGAGAACCGAAUGUUCUGUCUCUCUUUCCCUGUUUUAUUUUUUUGCCUGUUUACGUGCAUGAAUUAAAACGAUAUUGUUUUGUAUUUUGUUUCUCUAAACAACAAAUAAUAUUCUAUCCUUA
rnacentral:lncRNA from 1 species